AACAGUCUCAGUUCAGAUUGUAGGCUGAAACUCGCCUAUAUGAAGUCGGAAUUGCUAGUAAUCGCGGAUCAGCAUGCCGCGGUGAAUACGUUCCCGGGCCUUGUACACACCGCCCGUCACACCAUGAGAGUCGAUAACACCCGAAGCCUGUAGUCUAACCAUAGUGGGGGACGCAGUCGAAGGGUGGGAUUGAUAAUUAGGGUGAAGUCGUAACAAGGUAAC
rnacentral:rRNA from 1 species